rnacentral:rRNA from 1 species
GUGGGGAAUCUUGCGCAAUGGGCGAAAGCCUGACGCAGCCAUGCCGCGUGAAUGAUGAAGGUCUUAGGAUUGUAAAAUUCUUUCACCGGGGACGAUAAUGACGGUACCCGGAGAAGAAGCCCCGGCUAACUUCGUGCCAGCAGCCGCGGUAAUACGAAGGGGGCUAGCGUUGCUCGGAAUUACUGGGCGUAAAGGGCGCGUAGGCGGAUCGUUAAGUCAGGGGUGAAAUCCCGGGGCUCAACCUCGGAGUUGCCCUUGAUACUGGCGAUCUUGAGUAUGAGAGAGGUAUGUGGAACUCCGAGUGUAGAGGUGAAAUUCGUAGAUAUUCGGAAGAACACCAGUGGCGAAGGCGACAUACUGGCUCAUUACUGACGCUGAGGCGCGAAAGCGUGGGGAGCAAACAGGAUUAGAUACCCGGGUAGUCC